GCAGUCGACGGUGAUGAGGAGCUUGCUUCUCUGAUCAGUGGCGAACGGGUGAGUAACACGUGAGCAAUCUGCCCUUGACUCUGGGAUAAGCGUUGGAAACGACGUCUAAUACCGGAUACGACCUUUGGAGGCAUCUCUGGGGGUGGAAAGAAUUUUGGUCAAGGAUGAGCUCGCGGCCUAUCAGCUAGUUGGUGAGGUAAUGGCUCACCAAGGCGACGACGGGUAGCCGGCCUGAGAGGGUGACCGGCCACACUGGGACUGAGACACGGCCCAGACUCCUACGGGAGGCAGCAGUGGGGAAUAUUGCACAAUGGGCGAAAGCCUGAUGCAGCAACGCCGCGUGAGGGACGACGGCCUUCGGGUUGUAAACCUCUUUUAGUAGGGAAGAAGCGAAAGUGACGGUACCUGCAGAAAAAGCACCGGCUAACUACGUGCCAGCAGCCGCGGUAAUACGUAGGGUGCAAGCGUUGUCCGGAAUUAUUGGGCGUAAAGAGCUCGUAGGCGGUUUGUCGCGUCUGCUGUGAAAACCCGAGGCUCAACCUCGGGCCUGCAGUGGGUACGGGCAGACUAGAGUGCGGUAGGGGAGAUUGGAAUUCCUGGUGUAGCGGUGGAAUGCGCAGAUAUCAGGAGGAACACCAAUGGCGAAGGCAGAUCUCUGGGCCGUAACUGACGCUGAGGAGCGAAAGCAUGGGGAGCGA
rnacentral:rRNA from 1 species